UUUUAAUUUGCUGCUUCCGUCAACAUGUAAUUACUAUCAUCAGCUUCCUACCGCGUGAUCCAAAACAACUGCAUCUCUAAAUUUUUCCAUUUUCAAAUCUCCCCCCUCCCCCUCCCCCGGUUUCUGAUGUCGAGAAUCUGGCAAGUCGCGAGCGCCGAUUCAUCAUUUCGAACGCGUCCGUCUCGUAGCACCGUGAAAAGUUUGACCGUCAAAUUCCAGUCUUUAUAGCACUUGCAGUUUACUAAUCGUUCCGCGACCGCAGCGCCAUUAACGUCUCACUCCGAGACAAAUUGGCACGGUUUAUUCGGCGACAAUGUGUCACACGGUCGACAAGUUAGCCGAUCAGGACCGGUUCCAACGUGUUCGGGAGUACCGUAUAUCAUCGACGUCGAGCACUCAAUCGGUCGCCCGAGCAGAUUAUAAGUCUGUCUCCUUAGGCGUCUCGAGGAGCUUCGCAAGCGGACACGUUACUUUCGUCGAAGAGAAAAGGGAUCAACUCGAUUAAAUGUCUGCACACCGUUUUUUUCUUUCCUGAUCGGCUCUCACCUGUCCAACGUAAGCUCCUCCAAGUGAUUCAAAUCACAGGCAAUAUAUUCUAAGGCUGCGUCAGUAAUCCUUGAGCACCAACUCAGAUCUAAGGAACGAAGUCUUGGCAAGUUCUCCGCGAUCAGCUCGACACCGUCGUCCGUUACUUUGCUGCACCCCGACAGCGACAACACUGUCAGAUUCGGCAAGGAAUGCACUGGAACAGAGAAAGAAUUGCCACUAUUAUUACGCGAGUUUUUCAUGCUUUGCGGCGACUCUGUUUACAUCGGCGACUCUGUUUACAAAAGAUUUCGCUCGUAACUGCGUUCGAUUCGUUGGUCAACACUAAACCAACCGACCUGUAAUGACGACCAGCGUGCAUUGAAAUAUAUAGGAGUGAAAAGAUAGAAUUCAUUUGGAUUUUGUAAAGUUUCAAUUAUGGGACUUGUUUCAAUAA